rnacentral:rRNA from 1 species
GUAGUUUGAUCCUGGCUCAGGAUGAACGCUGGCGGCGUGCUUAACACAUGCAAGUCGAACGAUGAUGGGAGCUUGCUCCUGGAUUAGUGGCGAACGGGUGAGUAACACGUGAGUAACCUGCCCUUAACUCUGGGAUAAGCCUGGGAAACUGGGUCUAAUACCGGAUAUGACUCCUCAUCGCAUGGUGGGGGGUGGAAAGCUUUAUUGUGGUUUUGGAUGGACUCGCGGCCUAUCAGCUUGUUGGUGAGGUAAUGGCUUACCAAGGCGACGACGGGUAGCCGGCCUGAGAGGGUGACCGGCCACACUGGGACUGAGACACGGCCCAGACUCCUACGGGAGGCAGCAGUGGGGAAUAUUGCACAAUGGGCGCAAGCCUGAUGCAGCGACGCCGCGUGAGGGAUGACGGCCUUCGGGUUGUAAACCUCUUUCAGUAGGGAAGAAGCGAAAGUGACGGUACCUGCAGAAAAAGCGCCGGCUAACUACGUG